UACGGGGGGGGCAAGCGUUGUUCGGAAUUACUGGGCGUAAAGGGCUCGUAGGCGGCCAACUAAGUCAGACGUGAAAUCCCUCGGCUUAACCGGGGAACUGCGUCUGAUACUGGAUGGCUUGAGGUUGGGAGAGGGAUGCGGAAUUCCUGGUGUAGCGGUGAAAUGCGUAGAUACCAGGAGGAACACCGGUGGCGAAGGCGGGUCUCUGGGCCGAUACUGACGCUGAGGAGCGAAGCGUG
rnacentral:rRNA from 1 species